rnacentral:lncRNA from 1 species
GAAAUACUGAAAACUCCAAGACCGUACAAUCCCAUAGAUAAAGGAAGAUUGCAUUGAUUCAGCAAAUCAUGUUAUAAGAAUGACCAACAGAUGGCAAAUAAUCAAACGGGUAUUGGGAUAAGGUAGUCAUUAUAAAUCAUCAUCACCAUCCAUACCUUUGGUAUUGGGAUAAGGUAGUCAUUAUAAAUCAUCAUCACCAUCCAUACCUUUGGUGACUUCACUGCUCCUAUCAUCAGUACUGUCGUUAGAAUCAUCAGCCUGAUGUGAAUCAUGCAUCACAAAAGUCCGCUCACGG